AGUUUACAACUCCCAAACCCCUGUGAACAUACCGAUUGUUGCCUCGGCGGAUCAGCCCGCUCCCGGUAAAACGGGACGGCCCGCCAGAGGACCCCCAAACUCUGUUUCUAUAUGUAACUUCUGAGUAAAACCAUAAAUAAAUCAAAACUUUCAACAACGGAUCUCUUGGUUCUGGCAUCGAUGAAGAACGCAGCAAAAUGCGAUAAGUAAUGUGAAUUGCAGAAUUCAGUGAAUCAUCGAAUCUUUGAACGCACAUUGCGCCCGCCAGUAUUCUGGCGGGCAUGCCUGUUCGAGCGUCAUUUCAACCCUCAAGCCCAGCUUGGUGUUGGGACUCGCGAGUCAUAUCGCGUUCCCCAAAUUGAUUGGCGGUCACGUCGAGCUUCCAUAGCGUAGUAGUAAAACCCUCGCUACUGGUAAUCGUCGCGGCCACGCCGUUAAACCCCAACUUCUGAAUGUUGACCUCGGAUCAGGUAGGAAUACCCGCUAAACUUAAGCAUAUCAAUAAGCGGAGGAA
rnacentral:rRNA from 1 species